rnacentral:rRNA from 1 species
UACGAAGGGGGCUAGCGUUGCUCGGAAUUACUGGGCGUAAAGGGCGCGUAGGCGGCACUGUUAGUCAGGCGUGAAAUUCCUGGGCUCAACCUGGGGACUGCGCUUGAUACGGCAGAGCUUGGAGGAUGGAAGGAGGUCGCGGAAUUCCCAGUGUAGAGGUGAAAUUCGUAGAUAUUGGGAAGAACACCGGUGGCGAAGGCGGCGACCUGGUCCAUUACUGACGGCUGAGGCGCGACAGCGUGGGGAGCAAACAGG